GACUCAGUAGCUCAGUUGGUAGAGCACAUCCCUUUUAAGGAUGGGGUCCUGGGUUCGAACCCCAGCUGAGUCA
rfam:Geofilum rubicundum JCM 15548 DNA, contig: JCM15548.contig00016.